rnacentral:tRNA from 1 species
GGGGUGGUGGCGCAACGGGUACGUUACACACAAGGUUUCAGUCACAACUCCUUCUGACUCUAUUAUAGUAGCGCGUUGGAUUCCAGACCCAAAGGUUGCGUGUUCAAAUCACGUCCGCCUCA